CGGGUGAGUAACGCGUGGAUAACCUGCCGUAUACUGGGGGAUAACACCUAGAAAUAGGUGCUAAUACCGCAUAAGCGCACAGUCUCGCAUGAGACGGUGUGAAAAACUCCGGUGGUAUACGAUGGAUCCGCGUCUGAUUAGCUUGUUGGCGGGGUAACAGCCCACCAAGGCGACGAUCAGUAGCCGGCCUGAGAGGGUGAACGGCCACAUUGGGACUGAGACACGGCCCAAACUCCUACGGAAGGCAGCAG
rnacentral:rRNA from 1 species